AGUGAACGCUGGCGGUAGGCCUAACACAUGCAAGUCGAACGGCAGCACAGUAAGAGCUUGCUCUUACGGGUGGCGAGUGGCGGACGGGUGAGGAAUACAUCGGAAUCUACUUUUUCGUGGGGGAUAACGUAGGGAAACUUACGCUAAUACCGCAUACGACCUACGGGUGAAAGCAGGGGAUCUUCGGACCUUGCGCGAUUGAAUGAGCCGAUGUCGGAUUAGCUAGUUGGCGGGGUAAAGGCCCACCAAGGCGACGAUCCGUAGCUGGUCUGAGAGGAUGAUAAGCCACACUGGAACUGAGACACGGUCAAGACUCCUACGGGAGGCAGCAGUGGGGAAUAUUGGACAAUGGGCGCGAGCCUGAUCCAGCCAUACCGCGUGGGUGAAGAAGGCCUUCGGGUUGUAAAGCCCUUUUGUUGGGAAAGAAACGCAGCAGGUUAAUACCACGCUGUUCUGACGGUACCCAAAGAAUAAGCACCGGCUAACUUCGUG
rnacentral:rRNA from 1 species